UUGACCUCGAAUCAGGUAAGAUGACCCGCUGAACUAAGCAUAU
rnacentral:rRNA from 1 species